AUCCAUUCUGGCCUUUGGCUUAGAUCAAGUGUAGUAUCUGUUCUACUUGGGCGACGCUUGGGAUGUGCUUCACAGGUCGAGUGGAGGCGACGAAGGCAUCGAAGAUGAUGUAGCGCCUCUGACUGAUUCUGAUAGUAGUUGAAGGAGAGCUGAGGUGUUUUGCAAUCAUGUACAAGAAAGAUGUCUCAUGUUCCAUCGCAAGCAGGGAACAAUUUAA
rnacentral:snRNA from 1 species